rnacentral:rRNA from 1 species
GUAGGUGGCAAGCGUUAUCCGGAAUUAUUGGGGCGUAAAGCGCUCGCAGGCGGUCUCUUAAGUCUGAUGUGAAAGACCCACGGGCUCAACCGUGGGAGGGGUCAUUGGAAACUGGGAGACUUGAGUGCAGAAGAGGAGAGUGGAAUUCCACGUGUAGCGGUGAAAUGCGUAGAGAUGUGGAGGAACACCAGUGGCGAAGGCGACUCUCUGGUCUGUAACUGACGCUGAGGAGCGAAAGCGUGGGGAGCGAACAGGAUUAGAUACCCUGGUAGUCCACGCCGUAAACGAUGAGUGCUAAGUGUUAGAGGGUUUCCGCCCUUUAGUGCUGCAGCAAACGCAUUAAGCACUCCGCCUGGGGAGUACGGUCGCAAGACUG